rnacentral:rRNA from 1 species
GAAAGCUUCGGCUAUUAGCGAUUUAUUCGCAUAAAGUUCUAUAUAGAAUACAGAUGAUGACUAUUUUCUAUAUAAAAGUCUUGACUAAAACACGUGCCAGCAGUCGCGGUAACACGAGACAGACUAGUGUUAUUCAUCUUUAAUAGGUUUAAAGGGUACCUAGACGGCAGAUUUCGCCUCCAUUGAAUUGGAAUGGUACAUUUUUGCUAGAGUUUUAUAUGAGAGGAAUUUAGUACUAACAGAGUAGAGAUGAAAUGCUUUGAUACUGUAGGGCACUGAUAACGGCGAAGGCAGACCUUUAUGUAAAAACUGACGUUGAGGGACGAAGGCUUGGGUAACAAACAGGAUUAGGUACCCUAAUAGUCCAGGCAGACAAUGAUGAGUGCCAUAGAUUAGAAUAUUUUUGAUCUAUAAAUGAAAGUGGAAGCACUCCACCUUAAGAGUAAUACGGCAACGUAGGAACUGAAAUCAUUAGACCGUUUCUGAUACCAGUAGUGAAGUAUGUUGUUCAAUUCGAUGACCCACGAAAAAUCUUACCACAAUUUGAAUAUUAUAACAACAAACUCCUUUUUUAGGGAUAUAGGAAAGUCUUUUUAAUAAUCUAAUUAUUAAUUAGAUGUAAGUGUUAAUAAUACAGGUGUUGCAUGGCUGUCUUCAGUUGAUGUCGUGAGAUGCAGGUUAGCUCCAAUAAAUCAACGUGAACCCUUACUUUAUUUUAAACGGCAUUGCCGUUUACAUAGAGUAGUUCCCCGGCAUAUCGGAAAGAUAACAGGGACCAAGACAAGUCCUCAUGGCCCUAACAUUGUGGGCUAUAGACGUGCCACAUAUACC